GGGAAGGUAUAGGUUNNAACCCAGUAUGGGGCCGUAAAAAGCCCUGGGUGGGUUCGACUCCCACACCUUCCCGCCA
rnacentral:tRNA from 1 species